AGGUGCAAUCAUAUUAAGACUAAUGCGUCAGAUUCCAUCAGAAUCUCACAGUUAAGCAUGCUUGGACGAAAGUGGUAUUAGGAUGGGUGACCUUUUAAAAAGUCUUUGUGUUGCACCUC
rnacentral:rRNA from 2 species